rnacentral:lncRNA from 1 species
UCUUGUUGAGAGUUCCGCUUCUGCUCAGGAAUAACAAUCGGUUUUCUUUGGAUUGGAUGUACCAUUUGUUCUCUAGUUUGCUUUGGUUGUCUUCUAGGCUCGUCGAAGACGGUGGCUGAGUGCUUCAUAGGUCUAGCAUCAACUUCUUCUCUCCUUGUCUGUUGAUUAUUAUUGUACCUCCCAACCAAAUUAGGUUCACGUGUACCCUCGGGUCUCCUCAUCGAUUUUCUUUUAGGCUCCACACUGUGACGAGGAUCUGAAAACAUCACAAGGGGGAUUAGGAAGAGUUUCAAAGUAGAGAAAAGAGUAGCAAAGAGAAUAAUAACUCACUUCCAUCGCAGUCCAAGCCAUCUAAGAUCUUCAAGUGGCCCAAGGCAUAAAACAAAGACGAGAAAAGAAAGUUUUCAGGAUAACACUUGAUACAUACCCAAAACAAAAUACAACAGGGGAAAGAUAUGUUUACAUAAUACCUGAGAGAGUUCAAAACCAGUAGGCUCAGGAGCCAAAAAAUCUAAAUCAUGCGGAGGAGAAGGAAAGGCUUCUGCUUCAUCAACUACCGAAUAAUUUGCAGACUCUGGCGUCCCUUCAUCACCUGCAUUAGCCAAGUAUUGUGAACCUUUGAAAAAAAAAAAAAAAAAAGCUUCUCGCAGUGACUAAGGAACAUGAGGAGAAAGCUAUUACCAGCAAUUUCAUUCGUGCUGUUCAUCCAUUGGUCCACCAGCUCUUUCCACUCUCUGAGCAUCCCAUACAUAAACACACACAAUACUUAUAUUCAGGGGACCAGAAAGUAGGAAAGAUAAAAUGUGCUAAGUAAUUCAACUAGCACAAGAGCAGCUCCCUAAUGAUCAAACAAUGCCUAUCUCGGAUUGAGGAAGCUGGUUUGCAUCCGAAUAUAAAAUACUGAGUUGAUUCUCUUUUACCAAAGCUUAAUGCACAUCACAAAAGAAAGAUUGAACUCAUACGCGAAGAGAGCCUUUGCAAGUUCCCGAAUCUUAUCAGAACCAUGUCUCCGCAAGCCAUUAACAGCCUUUCCAAUUUCAGUACCCUGCAAGAACGCAAAUGCUUCAAUCAAAACUCAGCAUAUUCGAAUAUACAUUACCAAAAAUCAGCACCAGAAACAAACCUUGAGAAGGUCCACGCUCAGAGACAUGGACUCAAGCUUCCUCAGGGAAUGGAAUAACGCAGAGUUUGACUGCAAAAAACUCAACACAAAAAAUAUCAGAAUCAUUCCUCCAAAAACAAACUCUAAUUGUUAAUUCAAACAAAGAGAUCACAACCUCAUCUUCUUUAUUCAACAAGAUGUCUCUGAUCCUCACGACCUCAUCAACAACAAUCUCGUUAUCGUUCACUUUCUUCUCAUCUUCUUCGCCACCGCCGGCUCCACCAGAAUCAUCCCUACCGCCGGAGCCUCCAACCGUCUCAUGGUUAUCCUCGCGGCCACAUCCGAUGCAGCUGCGGCUCGCAUUACGAGAGAACAGAAGCUGGGCGAUUCCGUCUCUCCUGGACUUGAACUCGUCUGGGAAAUAAGCGGCGGCGAGGAUGAUGGCGUGAUUGAUGAUCCCGAAAAUAUCAGAAUCCCCUCGCCGGAAAUAGUCUCUCCAGUCAUCCAACGAGUCCUGCGAUGGUUUCAUCUCGUCGCCGAUUUCGAAAUCCGGUUUUCUCGGGAAUUUUUUUUCUAAAAAAAAGGUCGAACACGCGUUUCCGAUCAGAAGAAUCAAUGUUGGUGGUGGAUUUUCGUAGCGUUUCCUUUUUCCCUCCGCUGUUAUUUAUUUUCCCUCCACUAUUUACCUUAGUUUUUUACCGAGAUAUAUCCCACUAAAUAUUACAAUGUGUCUUUUUUUUAUAUAUGAAACGUAAGAAUAAAAGAGUAACACAUGUCCUAAAACUAUAUGAGAUAUCGCUUUGAAUACUUGGAAAUCCCCUGUACAUUAUUUAAGAAUCAUUACAACAAUUUAUUUUUGUAGCCGCAUGUCAUCACUACAAUGAUUCUUAGAAUAUUUAGAGAAAUAGGUUGAUACAUCUAAAUAUAUAAUAAAUUUUUUAUUAAACUAACCAUAAAUUUAUGAUUAAUGUUUCUCAUUAUUUCCUUAAAUAAAAAUUAUCGAAUUGCCUAAUGUAACUACGGUAUAUAGGACAAUUAAUGAUUUUUAAUAAUAAAGAUUUGAUAAAAAUUAGUAUCUUCUAUCGUAUGUUUGUUUAAUUUUAAACUAUUAACAUAAAUUAAACAAUCACAUUAACCAUAUAAAAAAAUUAUAUUUUCUGUAUAUUUUAUAUUUUGGAUUUUUGAAAACACUUAUAAAUUACUAAAAUGUUAAAAGUUUUAUAUUCAAAUUUUGUGAUCAAUGGUUUAAAAAUUUUGUUAUGACAAGAUACAAAUGAUUAUAAAAUCAUAUAAGUAGAAAGUCUCAUUUAAUAAGUUUUAAGAUUAAAAGAUACUAGCUAUAUGCGUCCUAAGAGGUUAUGUUGGAUCUGUCAAACGCACUUUUGUUUUCUACAAUAAGCUCUGACUGGUCAUCAUAGUGACUGUAUAGAAUAAUAUCACCCGAAGGUAAAUGGAACUACCUUCGCACGGGUCUCUUAAGUUGUGGUUUAUGGGCUUUACCCUGCUUUGGAAUCGUUUCAAGUACUUGUAUUGUCCUCUGUCUCUUGGCUGUCAAAAAUUUAAAAAAAUGGCCAUCAAGAAUGUAUUCAAAAGAGUGGAGAUGUUGAAGAGACAGAGAAAGACUAACCCUUAUCAUGUUGUUGGUAGCUCUCUUGGAGUUUCCGCUUUGCGAACUCAAACUUUGCGUCAGGAUCCAUAGCUUUGAGUUUCUUGUAGCAACAAGAACAAUGACAAUUGCUAUUAGAAACCUUUAAAAAGAAGCAAACAUCAAGGCUUUAUUAACUCAUACUCACAUCUUGUUGAGAGUUCCGCUUCUGCUCAGGAAUAACAAUCGGUUUUCUUUGGAUUGGAUGUACCAUUUGUUCUCUAGUUUGCUUUGGUUGUCUUCUAGGCUCGUCUUCGACGAUGGCUGAAUGCUUCAUAGGUCUAGCAUCAAUUUCUUCUCUCCUUGUCUGUUGAUUCUUAUUGUACCUCCCAACCAAAUUAGCUUCAUGGGUACCCUCGGGUCUCC